GAAGCUAUCCAAGGUUGGGUCCUCAUUC
rnacentral:piRNA from 1 species